rnacentral:rRNA from 1 species
AAGUCGAACGGUAACGAUCCUAGCUUGCUAGGAGGCGACGAGUGGCGAACGGGUGAGUAACGCGUAGGAAUCUACCUAGUAGUGGGGGAUAGCCAAGGGAAACUUUGGGUAAUACCGCAUACGAUCUACGGAUGAAAGGGGGCCUCUCUUUGAAGCUCUCGCUAUUAGAUGAGCCUGCGUCGGAUUAGCUUGUUGGUGAGGUAAAGGCUCACCAAGGCGACGACGGGUAGCCGGCCUGAGAGGGCGACCGGCCACACUGGGACUGAGACACGGCCCAGACUCC